rnacentral:rRNA from 1 species
GGCCGCCUACGGGAGGCAGCAGUGGGGAAUAUUGGGCAAUGGGCGCAAGCCUGACCCAGCAACGCCGCGUGAAGGAAGAAGGCCUUCGGGUUGUAAACUUCGUUUGUCAGGGACGAAGAAAGUGACGGUACCUGACGAAUAAGCCACGGCUAACUACGUGCCAGCAGCCGCGGUAAUACGUAGGUGGCAAGCGUUAUCCGGAUUUACUGGGUGUAAAGGGCGUGUAGGCGGGAGGGCAAGUCAGACGUGAAAUUCCAGGGCUCAACCCUGGAACUGCGUUUGAAACUGGUCUUCUUGAGGG